UUUAUAUUUUUUUGCUAAUAAUAAUAAUAUCAAUAAUAGAUUUAGAGAGAGAUUAUGCUAGAGAGAUAAACAAAACUCUAAUAUUAUGCAUAGAGAGUAGGAAGGUUAAUGUUUUGCUUAGGUGAGGAGGAAGAGUUGGUUGAGGUCUUCUCUUACUGUGUGAAGGGGAAUGGAGAUGGUUUGAUGUAGCAGGUUUGGAAUUAGAGGGAUGUGGGCUUUUUGGAAGUGGUUGGAGAUGUGCUUGUUUGCUGGAAGUGCAGAUAUGGCCUGCUUGAGGAGAUCGGGUAGAGAACAAGGACCAGGAGAGUCUUCAGGUGGAUGAUGAAUUGGGUGGUGAGGUUGAUUAGAAGGGUUUUGUUUUGUGUAUAGGAAGCUGUGAAUGUUGGAGUUAUGCGGCUGUUUUGGUGUUGAGAAGAUUAUGCUGAGAGCUAUUGUGAGUGGUAGAAAGAGAAGUGUUGGCGAGGAAAUGGGCUGGCCGGUGAUGGGCUGCCUGCAGGGAUGAGUUUGAGAGGAAGAAGAGGUGGAGGGCUGUUGUUAUGCACGGGUGAGAGGAGUAUGUGGGCUGGUGGUGUUCGUCUAUAGCAAGGAGGAGAUGGGGCUUCUUUGCGUGAAGCAGAGGAGGGAGCUGUGUGAGUUCGGGUAGGAGAGCAGAGGGGACAUGCGGGUGGAAGAGGAUAGGGGGCUGCUGUAGCUUCACGUGAGGGAGUAGUAGCUUGCGGCUUGCUGGUGUUGGCUGCUUGGACGCAUGGAGAAGAGUGAAGCUGGGUAGGUUGCCGUUUGGGAGGAGGGGCUGGAGCAGGUAAGUGGAGAGGUGAGGGCUGGAGCAGGUUUGUUGAGGAGCAAAGAGGAGAAUGGGAUGGGGAGAGGUUUCUGCGUGUGUGAGAGCUUCCAACAGAGAGAGCUGGAGCCAUCUCCUGCCAACAAUCUAAAAUGUGGUCGGCCCUUGUGUUGAGAUGCCAUCGCUAGAGAAGCCCGUGACAAUGAGAAUUAUGGCUUUCUUGGCGUCGUCAUUUUGUGAGGAGCUGGAGCCAUCUCCUCCACACUGGGCGCCCUCUCUUGAUAUGCAGCAACUUCCCAACUUGCUUUCCUUUUACUGCUAGUUUUGCCAUAACUUACAGCUUGGCAACCUGAGCGUCCCUUGUGGUCAAUAAUGAAGGGUCGUCGAUGGAAAAUUCCUUAUCUAAAACACCUUAAAAGAACAUCUUGGAGCCUAUCAUGGAGAGUCAUUGUCUUUGUGUACAAGCUGGAGCCCAUUACAUUAAAUUUAACACUUUAAACUCACUCAAAGGAUGUUUCAGUAGCUCGUUCAAAGAGAGGCAUUUAAUUGGCUCAUUUGCAGAGGAUGCUCAACCACCAGAUAGGGCAUGCUUUAAAGAUUGCAAAUAAUUUUUUCGUACAUUUUCUUGCUUGAGCAAUCAACUUGUCUUCUAUGGUGGUCACGAUGACCUUCGUGGAAGCCACCUCCUCUGCAGGCGCUACUUCCACUGGACGCACAAGAGGUACUGGCCUCUGUAACCUCAUAUUCAGUGGAAGAUCCUCAGAAUUGGUAGAAAGUAUCACUCUCCCAGGACUCUUUGUACCUCCACCACCAAUAGUAACUUCGAGGGGACUCGCUGCCUUGGUCGACAAAGGCAUAGCCGCCUUCAUUAGACAUGGCUCUAUUUUUUGUCUCUUCAAGGGGGAGGGGCGGCUAGCCCGAAGGAUCCUGCAUGUUUGAGGAUUAGCAUCGGCCUCUUUCUCUUUGCUCGGAACUAAGGUUCAACUAAAGUGUUCAAGGGAGUAAAGAGCUUCAGCACGAGAUAGCUUCUUAUGGGAACGGGUUGUGAAUAGUGUCACAUCUUUUUAUUAUGAAGAAUCUAUGCAACAACUGUAGCUACAAUAAAAACAUGGUGGUAACUUUGUAUUUA